rnacentral:rRNA from 1 species
GACGUAGGGCGCGAGCGUUGUCCGGAUUUAUUGGGCGUAAAGAGCGUGUAGGCGGCCAGGUAGGUCUGCUGUGAAAACUCGAGGCUUAACCUCGAGCUGUCGGCGGAAACCAUCUGGCUAGAGUCCGGAAGAGGAGAAUGGAAUUCCCGGUGUAGCGGUGAAAUGCGCAGAUAUCGGGAAGAACACCCGUGGCGAAGGCGGUUCUCUGGGACGGUACUGACGCUGAGACGCGAAAGCGUGGGGAGCGAACAGG